ensembl:lncRNA
AACAGAACAAAUUCAAUAGGAUACAAACAGAAAAGAGGUUGAUUCCUCCUACCUGCUAUCCCUUCAAAUUGGUUCUGUUUAGGUUGUUUCUUCUCCAACCCUUGGAUGAAAUCUCUGGUGUGUCCCACAAUGCUUCCAGUCAUCCUUGGAUAAAACGAACAAGCCAAGAAAACCUCUACCUUCAGUAACAAACACUGUCUCAUCUUAGUAAGGUAAAUGUGCUCUCUCUUCAGUUAAAGCUUCUCCCUUUCCUUGCUCUGGCCAGACAGGGCUGGGAAGCCUGUGAAAGGGGAGGUGGCACGGAGGAUCUCUGUCACAUUUCCCCUCCUCCAGCCUCCUCCACCCUCAGCCUCUUAACCCAAGGCUCCCGAUCCCUUCAGAUGGGGCCCAGAGGUAGCGAAUGUCAGGGGUAAAUACACAAUCUGAAGUGGCUGUGGCUUCUAGGGUCAAUGUUGGUAUUCUCUGGCACUUUCGCUGCUUUUGUACCACAGAAACCUCCCCACCUGGGACCCUGCAAUUAUAAUCUCCAGGACAGGAUAAAGCUUGUCUCUAUUUGCUAGCUUACAUCUCCAACUGAUUCCAACUGACUCCAAAUCUGAACCCUGGACUAUCUGUGGUCCAUCUCCCCCACAUUAUCUUUGUUGGUCCAUCAACCUUCCAAAGAGACUUUUGGGGCAAAGUCCUUAUUAAGAUGGCCCCAGGCCCAGUCUCCCCAUGUGACCCACAGUAGGUCCCUGAGAAAAUGCAUGCAUCUUUGAUCCUUUCUGUUGACAGAAGUAUGACUCAUUCUUUAUGCAGUCUUCUUUGUUCUUGCCCCUCAGGUGGAAGGCCUUGGCCUCAGGUCUUUGAAUUUUCCAGGAGUCAGUCAUUCCAAGUCCACUGCUCCCAGACUCUAAGGGACACACAUAUGGAGAGGAGAGGGAAGCCUUCCCAGCCUCCCUCAGAAUGCAGAUGGGGUGACUGACAUGCUGGAGCUGCUGAAUCAAUGCCAGACACUGUCAGCUCUUGGAAUCAGCAUGUGGGAAAAAAUCUCUGCAGAGUAUCAAAUGGAGACGCUAAAUAGAGAGAUAGGUGGGUAAGUCUGGAGCUGGAGUGUCAAGGGCAUAUUACAUGGGAGUGGGUGAGAUGAUUCAGAGAGUAGAUAGAUAAACUUCAUUGAUUGAUUAGCUGAUAAAAAGAGAUGCUCCUGGAGAACACCAACCUUCAAGGAAGAGGCUAGAGGAAAGAGGCUGCACAGAAGGAACAGCCAGAGAGAGAGGGUACCUGGAUCCUAUGGCGUCUUGGGAGCCAAGGGAGGACAGAGGCUUGGGAAGUCUGAGUGGUCAGCAGUACACGUGACAGAGACGGCCAGUGGCUGAGAUCAGAGAAGGGGACUUGGUGGCCAUUCUCACACGUCAAUGCCAGUCUGCCCAAGGACCUCAUUGUGCCCUCCAGGCUCUGCCUGUAAAACUAUGGGCACCUCACAGGCUAGCAGCUCCCAGGAGUUUGCACAGACAAGACAAUGGAAAGAGAAUACUUCCUUCCCUGACACUGUGACCAGGAGAUUUUGGACAUGAUUACUGCAGUGUUUUCUCCCUGCCUAGUCUGAGUUCAGAUGCACUUGAUCUUAUUAGAUUUGAUUCUUCUUGGCUCAAAGAGCCUGCAGCCUUAUGCUCUGUGGGCCUCAGACCACUCACUCAACAAGUUGAAGGCAGAGCAGAAGCUAGAACUCAGGUCUUCUGAUUACAAAUCUGCCAGGCCUCAAAACCCACGUGGAACAUUUCCUAGGUCUGGCUUUUAACAAAUGCAUUGGGGGUUGGCAUGCUGCUGGUGUUUUGCUGGCUCAGGGUAGGCACCAGGAUAUUUUUUGCAAAUUGGGUACUCUGUCAUGUAGAAAAACAUCCUUUUAGGGGGUAAAACAUCUGGAGUUACAUUGCAUGAAAAGAAACUGAAGACCAGGUUACACAGUUAGCACACAGUUCUCC